UCGGCCACCCCACGACGGCGCACACCCACCAUUCCCUUCGCCUCCGUGUCGUCUACGUCCCUGUGGUUCCAGAUCUUACAUGCAGCGACUAGAAGCGGGGAUUCGACGACGGAAAGCCUUGGGUCUGCUCCGGUGAUUUCUGCAAACUCCGGCGACUCGAGCCACCGACAGAGCCGCUUGUGCUGCACUCCUAGUCUCCAAUCGAGAAGUCUAUCGAAUUUCUGGUGUGAAAAUCAUCAGUUCAUGACCAUUUCCGUCUCGGCAGUGGGGUUCUGGGGACUGAGUUUGGCUCGAUUGACGUAGAUUUCCGAUUACAAAGGUAUAAUCUCAACCUUGAAUCAAAGUUUUGUACUUGGAGAAAAUCGGAAGUUAACGAACUGGGUUUGUUGGUUAGGUUAGGUUCGGCUUGCUGUGUUCUUCAUUGGAAAGCAGACCUGCAAUUCGAGGUUCCUUUUCGAUCUAGUUGAUCACAAGGUGAGUUGGGUUCUGUUGAAGGUCUGAGAAUUUACACUUCUGGAAACUGGGCUGCCUUGUAGCAUGCAUGCUGUGAUGUUGUGUUUGAGAAGAGUAAAUUGGUAGUUAGUCAGAAGAAA